GGCUGGGAUUCGCUAUUGGAUAGAUGAGUUUGAAGGCUGUGAAAUGGCAGAUCGUUCAUGGGGCAUUGGCGAGGCGUGUUGUUGCUCGAAUUUUCCUUCUCGCCUUGGCUAUUUCGACUGUUCCUUUAUUGCAUAUUUUGACGGGUGCUGAUUUCGGAGUGAUCCCGACGGUGAUCUUUCGCGAUUGUGCUGUGAAGUCUGGUUCUGUGGAAACGAAAGUUUCUCGAGGAUCGUAUUUGUUUCAAGGUCAUUUUCUGAAUCCAAUUUGGGUGCCAUUUGCAUCGAUGCACUGUGAGGAAUCUAUGAAUCUGACGACGAAUGUCGUUGCUGAGUUAAUGGAGAAGAAACUGUUGAAUCAUAGUGCUAAAUCUCUGUGCGUUGGAGAGGGAUCGGGAUCUUCCGUUUUGGCACUGAGGGACAUAGGAUUCAGUGAUGUUAUUGGUGUUGGUCAACGCCGAUUUUUCUCUCUAAGGAGAAAACAAUUCGUUUACGAAUUGGACUUUAAGGAUGGAUA
rnacentral:misc_RNA from 1 species